AACGGACCAAUACAACUUCAAUCUAUUGAACUCAUACUCAAAUACUGUGUAUUUUCAAGUAAAUACAGGAGGGUAUUAAAAUAGACUUAUAAUUCACUGAACACCUGGGGUGGGAGGAGCGCCAUUGAGAACCAUUCUCCUGCUUGGGAAAACUUAAGAAACGCUACUACAGUAAUAAAGUGGAAGAAUAUAAAACUGCACAGAAGUACAACAUGUUCUUAUUAACAACCUCCUAUGGAGGCACCUGAUGCUGCUUGCCUUUAUUCAUGUAAACAUUGUCUCAGAUAAUUACGCACAGGAAGCUGCCUUAUACUGAGUCAGGCCACGGGUGCAUCUAGCUCAGAAUUGUCUACACGAAGAGACAGGGGCAUCAGGAAACCAGAGGUGCUGAAAAUUGAACCUGGAACCUUCUGCAAGGAAAGCAGAUGCUCUAUCACUGAGCUAUGCCCUUCCAUGCUGUCAUGUGACUGCAAAAUGUGACUCACUUUGGCUUUGGGUUCUGCUCUGCAGCAUCCUUGGUAUAAUGGUUGAGUGAUGGCAGGGUUUUUUUUGUUUUUGUUUUAACAGAAGGCAAUCUGAGUGUAAGAGUUUCCCUCUUGAAAUCACAUCUGGAAAAUUCACAGCUGAAAUUUAAAAGCUCCCAUUCAAUAAAUGGGAAAGGGACAAGUCAUUUGUGAAAUGACUGGGUCUCAUUUCUCCUAUGCCUUUUCCCCCCUGCCAAAGCAGUGGUUCUCAAAAUAUUUAUUUCCCAUGGACCCCUUGAAAAUUGCUGAGGGUCUUGGAAAACCACUUAAAAAAAUUCUGCCCCUUGUACCAAGUGCGCUAGAUGCUGUAUGUUUUUGAUUGCAUUUUUAGUUCUUUUAUUCAUUUUUAUUUAUUUGGUCCCUCUCACUCUGUAUUCACUCGGGGCAAAAAAAAGUCUAGCCAUCCCCCUGCCCCUAGCUAUGGCACUGUCUAGUUGGCCACUGUGAGAACAGGGUGUUGGAUUCAAUGGGCUUUUGGCCUGAUCCAACAGGCUGUUCUUACGAUCUUAGGCUGCUACUAUAUUGUCAGGGGGAUGCCAGCAACUCCCACGGCCAGUUGCCCAGGAACGUACAAAGACAAGGAAAUGUUUCUUACCAUCCGCUUUUUACUCCGUAUUUACAGAGAGAGGCUUUGGAACCCAGCCUCUUAGAUAAUGGCAUUGUCCCAAGUGCAUCUCCACCCCCACCUCCGUCUCUCCCACUUCCUCACUCGUCAUCCCUACGGGCGCUGACAAGUGACCUCUGCCUUUGAGCUCUUUGCUCUGCUACUUUCAAUGCUUGCUGGGUUCUGGGAGCAGGGGUCUGAAAUGCUUUCUAAAGACACUGUGUCCAUCAGCUGUCCUCCCCUCCCAGGUGCUUCCUCUUUCUCCUCCUCCUCUCCCAUUAUUUCCCAACUUUUCCCUUCAUCUGCCUCUGAGCUGUGACCUCCCUCAAACCCCUGUUGUAAUUCUGAACUGUCUUCUUCUUCUCUGGAAGGGUCAGGCUGGGAAUGCGGUCUCCACUAUCCCUCCUCUGCCCAGACCCUGACAUUUAUUGGGGGACAGUUCCCUGUUGGACAGGGGAUGGGGGGCUGAAAGCUGCAUUCAUGUAAGCUUUCAUUUUUUAGCUUAUAAAUCCUGAUAAGAACACUUGAAGAAUCGCUGAGAUAUCAUUUGACUUGGAGAUAGUACAAACUGCUGAGUGACUCAGUUACAUUUUGAGGGCAUUUCCCCAUACAAUUAAGGGGAAAACUUCAUAAGAGGGGUCCUAAUGUCAAAGUAAAUAUCCCAGUGUUAGUUAACUGAGAUGUAAGAAGAUUCUGCGGGAAGGAGCUUCGCACUUUGUUCCCUUCCUUAGGUCACUUGGCUAAUCUGCCACUAAAUAGAAGGGCUGCACGUGUCGUUCUUAUAAUCUUGAAUUCUUAGAGAGAUGGAGGGUUAGAAAAUAAGAAAUACAUGUUAGAAGAAAAAUAAAUAUCCCAGUGGUGUGUACAGUAAGCAUGAACAAGCAACCUGCACCCACUUUUUUUGGCUUGUAAAAAGCUUGCAGCAAGUGAAGAAACCCCUUGAUUAGUAACCACUGCAGAAUUCUACAGCUAAGAUGGAGCAUAUGAGUAUGGUUUGAGAAGACAUGAGUUCUGAUCCCUCCUUGGACAUGGAUUUUUUAGGACAUCUUGCCUAUGUUUUCUCUUAUUCAAUCCCCACAAUUGUUAAAUUGGGAUAUUUAUGGCUGUUGUGAAAAUAAACCAAUAAUUAAUGCUGAAUAACUUUUCAAUAAAUAUGGGGAAAUAAUAAUAUGGUCAUCAAAAAUAAUAAUAGUAUGACACACAGCUGUUUCAUGCAGCAAGCACUUAGCCUUUCUCAUGCAUGGUUAAGUACCCAAGAAUAGCCAUCCAGAUAUUUUGGACUAACUCCCAUCAUCACUCAGCAUUGGCCAUGGUGAUUCGAGUUGGGAUCCAACAACAUCUGGGGACUCCCAAGUUUGGAAUGCUGAUCUAGAAAAUCUAAUUGUGAGUGUAGAAGUGCCAGAUAUUCAUGGAAGAGGUAAAAGUUGAAACAGGAACUUCCUGCCUCUCAUCUCCUUAGCCAAUGAUAAUUUACACACACAUAUAUUAGCUAUAUGCAAGUAAUAAUUCUGACUUACACUCCAACUUUCUGAUUAUUAUCAAGAAGUCCCAAAGAGGAGGUUCACCAUGAUAUGAAUUAUUCCAUUAAAAAUAUAAAUUUAAAGAAUUGGAAGUUUAAAAGAGGAGGCAGGAAUACAAGAGAGACACCAACAGCUAGUAGAAUCAAGGGCAUAAUCAAUCAUCACUAAAUCCAAAUUCUCUCAGAGCAGUAUUUUCACUAAAUGCAUGAAGCCCAGCAGCAGUUACUGCUUUGGAGACGGUGACAUCUGAGACAUUUCUAUAACACUACAUUGCUAUGAAUACAUAUGAUUUUAUACUGUCUUUCAUACCAAAUACUGUACAUAUCUAUGUGUUUUCCUGAAAAGCACCAGUGAAAUAUUGAAUUCACGAUACCCUACUUUUCAAGAUUCAUGCCCUGCUGUCAACAAAUAUAUACCUCCAUUACUCUAUAAAAACUUAUAUUAUUCUGACACUUCAGAUUUCUAUUCUGGCUUUAAGCUACUAAUAAAGAGAUAAGACAAGCAGAGAUAAAUAAUGGAAGGAGAAAGGUGUCCUGAGGCUCCUGUUUCCCUUUGUGUUUGUCUACGAUCCCCUCAAGCUCUCUUAGCCUGGCUUAUGUGUGGUUUCUUUUGAGGUGAUGAAUUAUAUGUCUAAAGACUCAGCAGUAAAUAUUCAGAAUCUAGUCUUUUUCACUCUAGGGGAGAUAAAGGUUGUUGUUGUUAUUUUAAAAAAGGAUUGAGCACAAUUUUUAAAUCCUGGCAGUGGGUACAUAGCCUUUUUCAUGUCACUUGAAAUUAUCACUCCUGAUAGCCUAGUUGGGUUUUUUAAAGCACACACAUACAGAUUGUGGCUAUUUUUUGGGGGGGGGGGGUUUAAAAAAACACAGAUAUGAAGACAGAUAUACUUUGUCUAGGUUCGGAUAGCACACUGAGCCAAACCGUAGCUUUGCACAAAUGUGCAAGUGUGUUGAUUCCCAGAGAGGCAACUGCUCUGUAUAAUGUAUUGUUUUUUAUAGUACCUGAUCUUUCACUCCAGUGUGGUGUAGUGUAGCGGUGUCUUUCCAGCCAGUGUGGUGUAGUGGUUAAGAGCGGUAGUCUCGUAAUCUGGCUAACCGGGUUCGCGUCUCCGCUCCUCCACAUGCAGCUGCUGGGUGACCUUGGGCCAGUCACACUUCUCUGAAGUCUCUCAGCCCCACUCACCUCACAGAGUGUUUGUUGUGGGGGAGGAAGGGAAAGGAGAAUGUUAGCCGCUUUGAGACUCCUGAAGGGGAGUGAAAGGCGGGAUAUCAAAUCCAAACUCUUCUUCUCUUCUUCUUAUGUGCUCUGUCUCUGUCAUUGUCUCUGUCUCUCUCUUGCAUAGAAGCAUUUCUGUAGCCUGGAUUUAGCUUAUAAAGCUGCUUCUAGUGUCCCACCAGCCCUCUUUCAAAACCAGACAACUCUUCUUGCCUUGGAAAAGUAUCUCUUGUUCCUCUGGUACAGCACCAUUGCCAGAAGUAGCACUCCACCCUGUUCCUUAGCUGGAAGACAUUCUUGCAAUGGUGCCAUCCCAGAGAGACACAAAAGAGAGGUGGGGGAAUUCAUCUUUCCUGCAAAAAUAUAUUGCCAUCUGAAUACAGGAAAAAAUGUGAUUCUCCUUGAUAUUAGCAUGGCUGCUCACAAAUGUCCGCUACUGACUUUGUUCUGGCAUAAGCCUGUAUGAAGCUUACACUGAGUCCAUACUCUCCAAUAAGAAGUGGCCCAAAACUGGGGCACCAUCUUCCAGCAUUCCCACGCAAGUCACGUAACAACACCCCCCCGCAAAAAACACUUUGGGGGGCAUGGUGUCCCAAAAUGCAUCUUUUGGGGCACUGCGCAAGAUCGCUGCCCCAAUAAAAGCAUUUGGGGGGGGGCAAGAGUAUGGCCCUAAAGUUGUCCUCUCUCAAGAAAAAACCGGAUGUCCUGUUUUUUCCAGGACAGUUGGCUGGUAUGUGAGUCAGGCCUUCAUUCUAUCCAUAAACAAGCACUGUUUGCUCUGUCUAGCAAAAGUUCUCUGAGGCCUGAGGCAGAGAAAAGCCAACUAUGCUACCUGAGAUCCUUUUAACUACAGAUUCAGAGGACUGAAUCAGAGCUCUUAUGCAUGCAAAGUACAGUAUGUACUCUUCUACCAACCUACGGCCCUUCCCAGAUCUCCCAUGACCUAGGGCUAAUAUCUAACCAAAGGCUUCAGAAAGAAAGAUACAGAUACAGAUCUAUUAAUCAACUUGUAAAUAAGGAUUGCAAAAUACAUCUUCAAAACAGAAUAGUUGGUCUGGGGUUAUAUUGAUUCAAAUAUAUAAUAUUUUGACAUAACUUAGCCACGAUUAACUGGUCAUCUGCCUUUAGCCAUUAAAAUGGUUAGGACCCAAACAAAUCUAAAGAAACGGUGUGCUUUGUGUGUGUUUAAAAAUGACUGCAGAGUCUGUCAUAUAAAAUGAAUUUAGCAAUGGAAAAGAAGGAGAAUUUCCAUCCCAUUAGGUGCUUUUAAUUGCCGUUAUUAUGAACGGUCUGAAUCUUUCAUACCUGAGUUGCUACAGGGAGAAAGAUAUUUUUAGCAUUUGCAGCCCAAAGCGACUGUUGCUACCCUACAGAGCCAUAUCCAUAGAUUUUCUUUCCAUCCUGCAGUUUCAGGUUGAAUAGGUAAAUUAAGUGCAUUACCUGAUAUGCCAUUUUUAUUAAAAGAAAUGAACAAAUGUUACACAAAUAAACGAGAAGCACAGAAGCAGAGCCUGCCUGCAGUGUUCGCUCAAAGAGGCUUUAGGUACACAAAAACCC